rnacentral:tRNA from 1 species
UAGGCCGUCGCCAAGCGGUAAGGCACCAGGUUUUGGUCCUGGCAUUCGGGGGUUCGAAUCCUCUCGGCCUAACCA